rnacentral:rRNA from 1 species
UACAGAGGUCUCAAGCGUUGUUCGGAUUCAUUGGGCGUAAAGGGUGCGUAGGUGGCGCCAUAAGUCAGGUGUGAAAUUUCGAGGCUUAACUUCGAAACUGCAUUCGAUACUGCCGUGCUUGAGGACUGGAGAGGAGACUGGAAUUUACGGUGUAGCGGUGAAAUGCGUAGAUAUCGAGAGGAACACCUGCGGCGAAGGCGGGUUGCUGGGCCGACACUGACGCUGAUGCGCGAAAGCCAGGGAGCGAACGGG